UUUUAUAAUAUUAUUUAAGUUAAUUGGUUAAAUUAAUUUUUAAUAGAAUUAACUUUAAUUAUUUAUGUCUAAGUAUUUUUUAAAGAAUUGAUUGAGUUAAUUAUAGUUAAUAAGUAAUGUAAUUGGAUUAAUAAUUUUAUAAGAAUUUUUAAAGUACUUUUUUUUUAGGUACCUUUUGUAUCAGGGUUGAUAAAUAUUUUUGUAUUUAGUAAUACUUAUCUCGAUUUAGGUUGAUUUAUAAUUGGAUUUUAUUUUAUUGUAUCAUAAUUAUUUAAAAUUUAAUUAUAGAAAUGAAAUGUUAUUCGUUUCCUAAAAUAUCUAGUUUUUCAAGAAAAAAUUAAAUUUUUUAAAGUUUAUUGAUUAUUGAUUAUUUAUUAUUUUUUAUUAUAAACUUAUUUAUACUUUAGGGGAUAAGCAGCUCUUAAGUUGUUUUACUCUAUAAAUUUAUUUAAAUUAUUUAAUAGUAGGCUUUUAACCAGCAGAUCUAUUUGAUUACGUUUUAGUUCAUUUUAAAAUUUAUGAUUUUAUAAAAUUUUUAGAUUUUUUAUUGGAAUGUUUUAAUAAAUUUUAAAUUAUUUGUAAUAAUGAUUAAAUUAGUAUAUUUAUUUAUUUAAAUUAUUUUUAAUUAAAAUUUAUUUUAAGGAAUUAGGCAAAAAACUCUUCGCCUGUUUAUCAAAAACAUGUCUUUUUGAUUAUAAUUUAAAGUCUAAUCUGCUCACUGAAUUAAAUUUUAAAGAGCCGCGGUAUUUUGACCGUGCAAAGGUAGCAUAAUCAAUAGUCUUUUAAUUGAAGGCUGGAAUGAAUGGUUUGACGAAAGGGUGACUGUCUCAAAUAUUAAUUAAUAAAAUUUAACUUUUAAGUUAAAAGGCUUAAAUUAAACUUAAAGACGAGAAGACCCUAUAGAGCUUUAUUAAUUAAUUAAGAAUAUUUUUUGAUAAUUUAUUUUAUUAAUUAAUUAAUUAAUUUUGUUGGGGUGACAUAAAGAAUAAUUAAACUCUUUAUAUUUAUAUCAUUUAUAUAUGAAAGUUUGAUCCAUAAAUUGUGAUUAAAAGAUUAAGUUACCUUAGGGAUAACAGCGUAAUUAUUUUUUAGAGUUCAUAUCAUAAAAGUAGAUUGCGACCUCGAUGUUGGAUUAAGAGAAGUUUUAGGUGUAUCAGUUUAAAAACUAGGUCUGUUCGACCUUUAAAAUCUUACAUGAUCUGAGUUCAGACCGGUGUAAGCCAGGUCGGUUUCUAUCUUAAGUUAAUAUUUUAUAUUAGUACGAAAGGACCAUAUAAUUGAAAUAAUUUUUAUAAUCUGAUUUAUAUUAAUUU
rnacentral:rRNA from 1 species